rnacentral:rRNA from 1 species
AGAGUUUGAUCAUGGCUCAGAACGAACGCUGGCGGCAUGCCUAACACAUGCAAGUCGAACGAGGUUUCCACUUCGGUGGUUUCCUAGUGGCGCACGGGUGAGUAACGCGUGGGAACCUGCCCUGUGGUACGGAAUAACUCCGGGAAACUGGAGCUAAUACCGUAUGCGUCCUUUGGGACAAAGAUUUAUCGCCAUGGGAUGGGCCCGCGUAGGAUUAGCUUGUUGGCGGGGUAACGGCCCACCAAGGCAACGAUCCUUAGCUGGUCUGAGAGGAUGAUCAGCCACACUGGGACUGAGACACGGCCCAGACUCCUACGGGAGGCAGCAGUGGGGAAUAUUGGACAAUGGGCGCAAGCCUGAUCCAGCAAUGCCGCGUGAGUGAUGAAGGCCUUCGGGUUGUAAAGCUCUUUCGCACGCGACGAUGAUGACGGUAGCGUGAGAAGAAGCCCCGGCUAACUUCGUGCCAGCAGCCGCGGUAAUACGAAGGGGGCUAGCGUUGUUCGGAAUUACUGGGCGUAAAGGGCGCGUAGGCGGUGUGUCAAGUCAGGCGUGAAAGCCCCGGGCUCAACCUGGGAACCGCGCUUGAGACUGGCACGCUCGAGUUCGGGAGAGGAUGGUGGAAUUCCCAGUGUAGAGGUGAAAUUCGUAGAUAUUGGGAAGAACACCGAUGGCGAAGGCAGCCAUCUGGACCGACACUGACGCUGAGGCGCGAAAGCGUGGGGAGCAAACAGGAUUAGAUACCCUAGUAGUCC